ACGCCCUAUGCCUCCCAGAGGGCACCGCGCGGUGCUGGGCGUUCCUGUAGUGGGAGUUCUCGGUUGUAGGUUUCUCGCUCCUCCGAGUUUAACGCCGCCAGGAUAUUAGUAGCCACUUGCUCCUAAGUGCGUCUUAAGCACUUGUAUGAGGACUUAUGCUCAAGAAGGUUCCCCAGAAAGUCUUUGUAUUUAUGAGUUUGGGAUGUAGUCGCUGAUCUACGGAGUGAUCAGGCAUUUAAAUGAGACCAGACAUCAAGUUUUUGCUUUUACCAGCCUCCUGAAUGCUUACGUGCGGGCCAGAUGCUCUCUGCUCACAGACAGCAAGCGGAGCUUGAUCUUGAAAGGGGUCGAAUCGGAGCUGUAGCCUUGCUGGCCUACACCAGCGCCACAGCAAUGCAGGAUCUGAGCCGCGUCUGCAACGUACACCACAGCUCACGGCAACGCCGGAUCAUUAACCCACUGAGCAAGGGCAGGGACCGAACCCGCAACCUCAUGGUUCCUAGUUGGAUUCGUUAACCACUGCGCCACGACGGGAACUCCAAAUUCUCCUUUUGUUUUAGCUGGAAAUGGUUCCUGUGCUUCUUCAUUUUGCUUACAUUUUUCUUACUGACAUCACAGCAUAUGGAAGCAUCUGGGCCAGGAAAUCAGAGCCACAGCUGCAACCUACGCACACUGUGGCAAUCCCAGAACCUUAACCUACUGAGCCAGAGCAGGAACACCUCGAUGCGCUGUAAAUUAGAAGUCUGCCCCUCAGGCCAAAGCUUUUAAGCGGGACUCCUUCCACAUGCAGCUGUAGGUGUGGGGUGUCCACGGGAGAAGUUAAUUCUCAUGGGAGAGAUUGUGGAAAAACAGCCACGUAGGAGAACCCAGCUGUUCCUCUGCAAAUAAGCAUGGCAGGAGCUACUUGUGAACAAAAACAGGCCUGGGAGAACGCCAGACGUCCACGUAGAGGUUUUAGCAGCACAGUGGAAGGAAUAAAGAGAUGAAGAAGAAAAAGAAAACAACCUCAUUUGCCUGCAUCAUUUCCAUUCCCCACGCCAGCACUACUGAGCUCUAAGAAGGAGCGUCCCAGCGUGGAAGAGUUUCUUUUGCCGGGUCCGCAAGAGCAGGGUGAGGAACCAUCUUUGCGGGCCUCUUGGAACAGAGUUAGGCUCCAGCUUCUGUUUCACCGCAUCGAGACAGGCAGAGCUAAGAUGUAUAUUUAACCAGCUAGAAACAAGGUAGAAAAAGAGGCUAAGUAGACAUGCAGUGGGGACCGUCACGGUUCAGAGAGUGGCUUUGCAGACAAACAUGGCAGAUUCUGUCACUGAUGGAGCCAGUAGUUGGCGCAACCACCACAGGCCCCUCACUCUCCCUGCAACUCUCAGCAGCUUUCCCCCCACAGGUAUUUGCGCUUGGCAACACCAGCCACCUGUUUCCCUCCUUGAGCCGUGCCUUCGACCCUCUCUGCCUUCUGCAACUUUCAGAGUACAAGAUGCCAGCCUAGGCCCCAACAGGUGGCUCACACUAAACCCCCAUUCAGGGCUGGUAGCACCUGUAGCUCUGUACAGCUUUCUGAUGCCCAUCACCAACCUCCAGUGUGGUGCACACGCUUGGAUGGAAAAUACGCAGCCAUGGGUGAGUGUAUUGCCAGCCAGGGCCACUGCAGCACUCUCUGGGCCCAAAUAAGGCUGUGCCUUCAGUCUGGAACCACUGUGCACCUGCAUGCCAACAUCCAGGGUCUCUACCUCUGCCUGAGAGCACAGCUGAAUGCAGCCCAUGAUACUGGCUCUGGCCCCCAUCACUCCAUGUGUGUCUUUAAUGGGGCUCUGCUACUACAGGCACCUGCUGCUGGUCCCAAAGCCAAGUGCAUGUUAAGCUAAAUAUAUGACACCCCCCGGACAGAGUGCUACCAAAUGCCACAAUACCACACCCUGCACCACUAGAACUCAGGUCAGGGUCAUUCACCGACAGAUGAAAGGUUUCCCUUACCAAAGCUGGUGCAUUGAGUCUAGAAGAGGUUACUCCUUUUUUCAAAUGCACAAAAACCUAUGCAGAGUUACAAGGAUCACAAAGAAUGAGGGAGAUACAGCUUCUCCAAAGUAAUACAGUAAACCUGCAAUACCUGGCCCCAAAGAAAUCAAAGAUCCAGAAACUACGAGAGAAAGUCUUUUUUUUUUUUUUGGUUGAGCGUACAGCAUGUGGACAUUCCAAGGCCAGGGAUCAAAUACACACCAUAGCAGUGACCCAAGCUACUGCAGUGACAACGCCAGAUCCUUUACCUGCUGUGCCACAAGAAAACUCCAAGAGAUUUUCUAAAAAUGGAGAGUAUAAACAAUCCAAAGAUACUAGGAAAACCAUACACAAACAAAAUGAAGAGUUCAGCAAAGAUAGAGAAUGUAAAAGAGACACCCCCCCAAAAAAAAAAAUUUUGGAACUAAAGAAUGCUCUAAGUGAAAUAAAGAAUUCAGUAGCUGACUCAAGCAACCAGAAGAAUCAGUGAGCCCAAAGACAGAUCAACUGAAACAGUCCAA
rnacentral:lncRNA from 1 species